CAAUAUUCCACCAGCUGAUUUAUGCAGAACAAUUCUCCACAGGAAUGGCUGGAGCCAGGGAGAGGAGGGGGUAAAAACAUCUCAAAAAAGACUGGUAAAAAAUAAUUAUCUCUGGUGUCACUGUAGCAACAAUCUUUGAGGCUGAUGUCAAUGAAAUAUUGAACAGCACAAUCACUUUGAAUGAGAUCUGAGGAGGGCUGGCGGUGGGUCAGGCAGAGCCACAGGAGCGCGCGCUCAGAAUGUUCCGGAAACGUGGGCUGAAUGCAGAGCGGGGUCUAGGUCCGUGCGUUCCUGGAUCCAUUUCAACAUGGCUGUAUUACGAAGAGUAGUUCUGACCGGCAGGUGUUAUUACCGCACUUCAUUUGCAAGCUUCUCUGUUUCAGACCCUUGAAGUUAUGGUAAAGGAACUGAAAGACUUGCAGGGCCCUGAGGGUGAUUUGUUGUUAAGGAAACCAGGCAGGAGCGUGUUACAAGGCAUCAGUUCACUCCGAGCGCCUGUCCUCUGCUGCGCGCUAGAAGAGCGGGUAAUGGAUCAGACCGGGGCCCAGGAGACCUCUGCCUGAAUCAAACCGUUCAAUACGUGCCAACACAGGCUCCUCUGCCUCCGAGCAGCAAACAGAGGCAAGAGCAGUAUAGACAGACACCUGAUUUAAAACUUCUGCACUGCACACAUACACUCACCCUUGGAUGUAUUAGCAUAUAACAUAGACAUAUCCUUUAACUCAGAAAAGAAAAACUCACUAUUGGACUGGCCUGAUUGAUUUGUUGUGUUUGUAUGUAAGAGGUUGCUGUGCUAACAUGGUUUUGUUCCUUAGCCACAGAGGUUUCGUAUCCGUCACUGUCCCGUUAAGACUGCCUGCAAAUUAGUCUCUGCCAUGCUUUUCUUUCCAGGAUGCAAAAUAAGGGAGUUACAAAUGAUGAAGCACAGAUGUAAACAGAAGUGUGUUUGCCCUCUUUAGGACUAAUUUAAGUCCUCCCUGAAUUUGAUUACUACUAAGUAGAUUGAUAACUGUUGUAAUAUCAGCGUGGUUAACUAAUUCGCUCUUAGACAAACAUUUUAUCAUGGACAUAUGAUUGCAUUCGAAAAGAAAAAAACAGCCCGUUCUCAUCCCAAGACGUCAUCUAACUGACGCUUUUGACCAUACGUCAACAUCCGAUGUUUUAGGGUACCCUUUAACGUCAGUUAGAUGAGACUAUCUAAUCUUAACCCUUACCCAGACCUAA